UACAGAGGUCCCAAGCGUUGUUCGGAUUCACUGGGCGUAAAGGGUGCGUAGGUGGCGGGGCAAGUCUGGUGUGAAAUCCCGGGGCUCAACCCUGGAACUGCACUGGAUACUGCCUUGCUAGAGUACUGGAGGGGCGAGUGGAAUUCCUGGUGUAGCGGUGAAAUGCGCAGAUAUCAGGAGGAACACCAAUGGCGAAGGCAGCUCGCUGGAACGGUACUGACGCUGAGGCGCGAAAGCGUGGGGAGCGAACAGG
rnacentral:rRNA from 1 species